rnacentral:rRNA from 1 species
GAUGAACGCUGGCGGCGUGCCUAAUACAUGCAAGUCGAGCGGACAGACGAGGAGCUUGCUCCUCUGACGUUAGCGGCGGACGGGUGAGUAACACGUGGAUAACCUACCUAUAAGACUGGGAUAACUUCGGGAAACCGGAGCUAAUACCGGAUAAUAUAUUGAACCGCAUGGUUCAAUAGUGAAAGACGGUUUUGCUGUCACUUAUAGAUGGAUCCGCGCCGCAUUAGCUAGUUGGUAAGGUAACAGCUUACCAAGGCAACGAUGCGUAGCCGACCUGAGAGGGUGAUCGGCCACACUGGAACUGAGACACGGUCCAGACUCCUACGGGAGGCAGCAGUAGGGAAUCUUCCGCAAUGGGCGAAAGCCUGACGGAGCAACGCCGCGUGAGUGAUGAAGGUCUUCGGAUCGUAAAACUCUGUUAUUAGGGAAGAACAAAUGUGUAAGUAACUAUGCACGUCUUGACGGUACCUAAUCAGAAAGCCACGGCUAACUACGUG